rnacentral:piRNA from 1 species
UGUGAUUGGAGGGGAACAGAGUUCAUUGU